UCCUAGCUUGCUAGGAGGCGUCGAGCGGCGGACGGGUGAGUAAUGCAUAGGAAUCUGCCCGGUAGUGGGGGAUAACUUGAGGAAACUCAAGCUAAUACCGCAUACGCCCUACGGGGGAAAGCAGGGGCUCUUCGGACCUUGCGCUAUCGGAUGAGCUUAUGUCGGAUUAGCUGGUUGGUGAGGUAACGGCUCACCAAGGCGACGAUCCGUAGCUGGUCUGAGAGGAUGAUCAGCCACAUCGGGACUGAGACACGGCCCGAACUCCUACGGGAGGCAGCAGUGGGGAAUAUUGGACAAUGGGGGCAACCCUGAUCCAGCCAUGCCGCGUGUGUGAAGAAGGCCCUCGGGUUGUAAAGCACUUUCAGCGAGGAAGAAUGCUUGUCGGUUAAUACCCGGCAAGGGAGACAUCACUCGCAGAAGAAGCACCGGCUAACUCCGUGCCAGCAGCCGCGGUAAUACGGAGGGUGCGAGCGUUAAUCGGAAUUACUGGGCGUAAAGCGUGCGUAGGCGGCUUGAUAAGCCGGUUGUGAAAGCCCCGGGCUCAACCUGGGAACGGCAUCCGGAACUGUUAGGCUAGAGUGCAGGAGAGGAAGGUAGAAUUCCCGGUGUAGCGGUGAAAUGCGUAGAGAUCGGGAGGAAUACCAGUGGCGAAGGCGGCCUUCUGGACUGACACUGACGCUGAGGUACGAAAGCGUGGGUAGCAAACAGGAUUAGAUACCCUGGUAGUCCACGCCGUAAACGAUGUCGACUAGCCGUUGGGGUCCUCGAGACCUUUGUGGCGCAGUUAACGCACUAAGUCGACCGCCUGGGGAGUACGGCCGCAAGGUUAAAACUCAAAUGAAUUGACGGGGGCCCGCACAAGCGGUGGAGCAUGUGGUUUAAUUCG
rnacentral:rRNA from 1 species